rnacentral:lncRNA from 1 species
GGGUUGCUGCUGCUAUUGCUGCUGCUGCUGCCGCCGGGAAGGGGUUGGGGGGGGCUCUGCUCCAGGCCUGUCUGCAGAAUCCCAGCCAGGAUUGCCUACCUGCAGAGCUCAGGUGGGUCUGCGCUCCACAGCAGCCCCAGGUGCUGACAGACCACUUCCUUUCCUUCCUGCCCUUUGUUUUGCCCAUUGUCUACGCUGGGAGUUGUUUCUCAGGGGGACUGCCAGGCAGAGGGGUUGGAAUAGCAAGUUCCUGAUUACAAAUUUCAUAAGAAGAUGGACUUGAGUCAGAAGGGGCUGUUCACACUUGCCCCCACUGGGCAGGAGCCAACUCUGUGGGUUGGGGUAAGGCACACUUUCGUGAGGAUUCCGUGAGUUACUGCAAUCAACUCUUUGAGGUGGGAAAUAUGAUGUCCAUUUUACAAAUAAGGAAAUUGAGGCCCUGAGAACUGAACUGCUGGAACCAGAACCCAAAUUUAGGCAACUGAUUGCCACUUUCUCUUGCCGCCACGUUAGAUCCAUUGUUAGGCAGUCACUGCUUACUGGUUAUGCGGCUCGGGACAAGUCACUUUCUCUCCAUGUUGGGACAAACAUUACACCACAAGCUGGUUCUCCUCACUGUCGGACUGCAUUUCGGCUUCUUGGAGAGUCUCCAACCUGCCAGGAAUGCUGCACUCUGAUACAGAAGGAGAAUCUGAGAUCUCUCAAGUGUGUUUGCUCAAAAAGGAAAAAUUGGGGAAAUCACAUAAGAAACUUUAGUAAGCUGGGUGCAGUGGCUCACGCCUGUAAUCCCAGCCCUUUGGGCGGCUGAGGUGGGUGGAUCACGAGGUCAGGAAAUCGAGACCAUCCUGGCUAACACAGUGAAAUCCCGUCUAUACUAAAAAUACAAAAAAAUUAGCAGGGCAUGGUGGUGGGCGCCUGUAGUCCCAGCUACUCGGGAGGCUGAGGCUGGCGAAUGGCGUGAACCUGGGAGGCAGAGCUUGCAGAGAGCCGAGAUGGUGCCACUGCACUCCAGCCUGGGUGAGACUCUGUUUCAGAAAAAAAAAAAAAAGAAAGAAAGAAAAAAGAAACUUAAUAAAUGUGCGCUGCCUGCAAUAGGAAAUAGGUCAGAGGCAUGUUCUGGGCAUGAGUGAGUUUAAUAUCAGCCUUGGACGAGGAGGUGAGAAAGAAGAAUGGACCCUGAGCCUGGCUUCCUGGAAAGGACAUACCAGAUGCAAGUGAAGAGAAGCAGACAGGGUUGAGAUGGAGGUCCUGAGUGGAAACAGAGGCUUACUGGAGGAGCUGGAGGAAAGGUUACUAAAUCAUCCAUGCAUACAUUCAUCCACUCAACAAAUAUUCACCCAAGUACCGUGCACGUGGCUCUGUACUGGGCAAUGGUAAAAAGACAGAUGCCCUUGAACUUCUGCAGCUCACAGCCACCAUCAACCAGUGCUUGGUGAGUGUUAACCUCCACCUUGGUCUUCUUCCGGCCCUCGAUCCUGAGCCUGCUGGACUCCUCAGCUCUUGUUGCCAUGGCCAUGAGUCUCACUGGUCACACAUGCCCUCUCCACCCAGCAAAGGAGAAAGUCACUCUCCAUCAUAUGAUUCCCAGGACUUUUAAGGGACUUGUUCUGGAUUAUGGCUGGGGCUUCAUGACUUUUUAAAGAUGUUUAACAUUUAUAGUUUUGAGCUGCACUCUGUACCCUGGCUGCAACUUCCCAGAGCUCAGGACCAGGCCUCAGGAGAAGGGAGCCUGGACGUUCAGGGCCCUCCACUACAGAGGAGUGGCUGGGAGUGUGCAAGUUUGGGAACCAGCUCCAGAAGCCUCUGAGCCCUUCUGUGGAUUGGGCUUGGAAGGAGGCCCCAGUAGGCAGGCAAGCCUUUACUCACUGAGGAUCAGGGUCUAAUAAGAUGGCCUAGCUCCGUCACUGUGGAAGCUGCCAGCCCAGCCUGUGCUUGAUGAAGCCUUUGGAAUUCUCAGGAGACUACUGCUAAAGGAGACUUUCUAUGUCAAGAAGCCCAGACAGUGUUCUCAUGUGGCCCGAAAGUCCUGAGCACCUACCAUGGGUGUACAGCAGCCCCAAGGUAGGCAGACUGAGGUCCAGAGGCCAUGGGACUCUCCGCAAACCACAGAGCAUCAGCGGUGACAGAGAUAAGAACUCAGCUCU